GGAGACACUAUAGAUGUUUUACAUAUGUGUUUUAUAGGUUAGGAAGUGGAAAAAUUAAAAUCUCAAAUGUUGCAUUUCCUGAUGUGUUUUAUCAUUAUCUUACUGAGAAUUACUCGGAAAAACAAACAAACAAGGAAAUGGAAAGUUAAGCAGCAGCUUAAAUCUUUAAAUUGUACCAUAAUUUAACUAUAAAAUAUGUUGAGUGGAAAUUCCUCAGUGUAUAUUAUUUUGCCUUUAAUUUUAAACACAAGAAUAUGAAAACUGGGCAGAAAUAAAAAGUUGGUUAUCAGAAAAGAGAGCCUUCAGAGAAUGUCUUAUUGUGUAAUGCAUGCUGCUUCAAGACUAGGUCUUGAGAGAUGUCCGAAUCUGGACUGACUUGUUGAUGUUACAAUUGCUAAAAAUAUAUAUAUGUAUUUAUUUUUUUUACAAUAUUUAAAAAGCAGUGUGAUUUGUCCAAUAAGAAAUCCACAGAAUACGCUCUUUCCUGAUUGUUAUACUAGUGGCCGUAGUUACGCCAGAACAUUAAAGAGUCAUCAAGUGCAAAGUCCAGUGUUUUAUUAUAUACUUUACAAACUCGUUCAUGAAUUUUAAUUUUGUUUGUGUUCAAAUUUUAACUUCUAAUCACCAUUUUGAACUUAACAGUAAUUAUUUAUAUAAAAAAAUUUGUAUGAAAUUAUCAAUGAGCUAUAGCAAAAUGUUUGGGUACAGCAAUGGGCUCUCAUUUUGUAACAAACACCGAGAGUUAUUGUCAGAUUAUAAUUCGUGUUUUUGUGUCUAUUUCACCUUAUAAGGGAUUACUUAAAUUUAUUUUAGGCAACCUGACAUUCAAUGGCGUGCUUUAACUGAAAACCAGGUAGAUUAUAUAAAAUACGCUGCCAGCGAAUCCUUUGGUAAUGUUUAAUUUAUAACAUUUUCUAUUUUUAUAUCCAUUUUUCCUUUUAUUGUCGUGUACAACUGCACUGGCAUGGCUUAAGGUCUAGGUUCAAAAGUACUAGUCUGGAGCACAUCACCUAUACCGAUUCUACCUCUGGGUUACUGUUAAGAUGUGCCUGUUCACACUUUAAUUUAGCCUAUUGUAAAUAGAUCUCUGGCUCUUCUUAGUUUAUUUAUUUAUUGUUUUAAUAGAAGAUACAUUAAUUUCCUUGCAUCAAUAUAGCUCAGUGUUGGAUCUUGUGCCACCAUUUUUCAACAACUACAAAAACUAAUUAUAUUUCCACUACAAGUUAUAUCAGCCGAUGUCUCAUAUAUACAGGACAUUCAGAGUGUAUCAAGACCUCUCCAAUUAGUUCACUUUUUUAUAUUGCAGCCUUAUCCUACAAUUAUUUUUUUUUAAAUUUAACCUACACUCCAUAACCCCUUAAUAAAAAAUAGCAAAAACAAUAUUCUUGAAAACUUUGCAAAAUUUAAAAAAAGAAAUAACUGAAAUUUCACGUUGAUAUAAGUAUUCAGACACUUUGCACAUAUGCAACCCAUUUCUCUGCAUCAUCCUUGAGAGGUUUCUACACUUUUCUUGGAGUCCACCUUUGACAAAUACAAUUGACUGUUAAAGGUGUGGAAAGGCACACACCUGUCUAUUAAAGGUCUCCCAGCUGUAACUGCAUAUCAAAAACUAAACCAUGAAAGCAUAGGAACUGCCUGAUGAGCUCAUAGACAGGAUUCUAUUGAGGAACAGAGCUGGGGAAGGCUACAAAUACAUUCUGAUGCUUUGAAUGUUGCCAAGAGCAUUGGACUCCAUAAUUCAUUAAAGUUUGUUACAACCAGGACUCUUGCUAGCCACCUAGUCAAACAGGCCCAUAAGAGGAGAAGGACCUUGGUAAGAGAAAUAAAUAAGAACCCAAUGGUCACGGUGAAUGAGCUCCAGGGAUGUGUGGACAUGGUGGAAACUUGCUAAAGGACAACCAUCACUCCACCAAUCUUGUGUUUAUGACAGACUGGUCAGAAGCCUCUCCUCACUGAAAGACACAUGAAAGCCUGCUUCGGAUGUGCAAAAAAAUAAAAAUAGCACCAAAAGGUCACGCCGACUGUGAAAAACAAGAUUAUCUGGUGAAACGAGGAUUGAACAGUUUGGCCUCAAUUCAAGGCAUCAUGUCUGGAGACAGCCAGGCACCGCUCAUCACAAGUGCAAGACCAUCCCAGGGGUGCCAUGUAUGCUUUGGGAGUGUUUUUCAGCUACAGGAACUGGGAGACUAGUCAGAGUUGAAGUAAAGCUGAAAGCAAUAAUCAGAUAUCCUUAAUGAAAACCUGGUCCAGAGAAGUCAGGUCCUCAGACUGGCUUGAAGGAUAACCAUUCAACAGGACAAUGACCCUAAGUUCACAGCCAAGACUGCACAAGAGCGGCUUAGAGACAACUUUGUAAAUGUCAUUGAGUGGCCACCUCAAACUUACCCAACUGAGCAUCUCUGAAGACACCUGAAAAUGUCUGUCCACCGAAGGGCGAAGUCUAACCUGACAGAGCUUGAGAGGAUCUUAUGAGUGAAAGAAACUAGCCACAUCCAAGGGUGCAAAGCUUGUCGUGUCAUACCCCAAAAGACUUGAGGCUGUAAUUGCUGCCAAAGGUGCUUCAACUAAGUACUGAGUUAAUGGUCUGAAUACUCAUGUAUGUGAUAUUUCAAUAUUUUCUUUUUAAUAUAAUUCCAAUCUUUGCCUGAUUGUGAGUGCAAAUUGAUGUGAGGAGAAAAAUAUAUUUAUAAAAUGUAAACAAUUGUAGCAUAAAGCUGCAACAUAUGUUACCGGAUACUUUCCAAAUGUACUGUAUAUAGCUGCAGUGAAUUUACUCUUCUGUUUUAGUGGGAAUAAAUCUAGAUCUUAUUUCCUAAUCUAAAACUUGUAUAUGGUAAAACAAUUUAUAAAAAUAGUGUUCUUCAUUUUACCACAUAUUUUAUAUACAUAUUAACACACAAGACGGUCAUAUAAGUUUAUUGUUCCUGCUUAAUUAAAGUGCUUGUUUUUACACCACAUGUAAAAUAUAAUGUAAUAGCUGCCUUCGAAUAAACCCAAUAAAAAUGGUUAAAUCAUUUCUUUAAGUUAACCAGGCACAGACCUUUUUGUAAACAGUUACAUUUAUUUCCCCCUUCAUUAAUUUGUAUCACUUCAAAAUGUAGAUAAAAUAUAGAACGUUAAACAGCCUUGUGGUUUUUUUUUCCCUUUUUUAAAUAUAAUUAACCUGUUUUUAGUAGUCUUCCAAAAUAAAAAAAAAAUUAAAAUAGGGUUACAUCUGAACAGGCCAUGUGUUUAUUUUGGGCCCUAACUAGUAACUGAAAAAUGAAUGUGGCUUACGCUUUUAAAAUGCUUGUAUUGUGCAAUCAUUACAAGCUUGUAAACUCACAAACACACAACCUAUUAGACUACGAUAAGAGAACCUUUUCAGCUUUAAUCUUGCAUGAAAUCAAUAGAGUAAUAAUAACUAGCUAGUAUUUACAGAAUGGAUUAAACCUGA